rnacentral:rRNA from 1 species
AAUACGAGAUGCUAAGGCAUUGAAGUGGUUGAUGUCAUACUUCCAAGAAAAGCUCGAACUAGCAUAAAUACUAAAUGCCUGUACCUUAAACCGACACAGGUAGGUAGGUAGAGUAUACCAAGGGGCGCGAGACAACUCUCUCUAAGGAACUCGGCAAAAUAACCUCGUAACUUCGGAAGAAGAGGUGCCCUUUAAAAAGGGUUGCAAUAACCAGACCCUGGCGACUGUUUACCAAAAACACAGGUCUCCGCAAAUUCGUAAGAUUAAGUAUGGAGGCUGACGCCUGCCCAGUGCCGGAAGGUUAAAGAAGUUGGUCAAUCCUCGGAUGAAGCUAGCGACUGAAGCCCCGGUGAACGGCGGCCGUAACAAUAACGGUCCUAAGGUAGCGAAGUUCCUUGUCGGGUAAGUUCCGACCCGCACGAAAGGCGUAACGAUCAGGGUACUGUCUCGGAGAGAGGCUCGGCGAAAUAGACAUGUCUGUGAAGAUGCGGACUACCUGCACCUGGACAGAAAGACCCUAUGAAGCUUUACUGUAUCUUGGAAUUGGGUUUGGGCUUUGUUUGCGCAGGAUAGGUGGGAGGCUUUGAAGAUAUUCUUGUGGGAAUGUUGGAGCCAACGGUGAGAUACCACUCUAGCAAGGCUAAAAUUCUAACUUUGAACCGUUAUCCGGUCAAAGAACAGUUUCAGGUGGGCAGUUUGACUGGGGCGGUCGCCUCCUAAAAAGUAACGGAGGCGCGCAAAGGUUCCCUCAGGCUGGUUGGACAUCAGUCGUAGAGUGUAAAGGCAUAAGGGAGCUUGACUGCGAGACCUACAAGUCGAGCAGAGACGAAAGUCGGCCUUAGUGAUCCGACGGUUCCGAGUGGAAGGGCCGUCGCUCAACGGAUAAAAGUUACUCUAGGAUAACAGGCUGAUCUCCCCCAAGAGUUCACAUCGACGGGGAGGUUUGGCACCUCGAUGUCGGCUCAUCGCAUCCUGGGGCGGUAGUACGUCCCAAGGGUUGGGCUGUUCGCCCAUGAAAGCGGUACGCGAGCUGGGUUCAGAACGUCGUGAGACAGUUCGGUCCAUAUCCGGUGCAGGCGUUAGAGCAUUGAAAGGAGUCCCCCUUAGUACGAGAGGACCGGGGGGAAUACACCUCUGGUGUACCAGUUAUCAUGCCAAUGGUAAACGCUGGGUAGCCAUGUGUAGUGUGGAUAACUGCUGAAAGCAUCUAAGUAGGAAGCCCACCUUAAGAUGAGUGCUCUCACCGCUAUAAGCGGGUAAGAUCACGGUAAGAACAACCGUUAUAUAGGCACUAAGUGUACGUACAGUAAUGUACUUAGCUAAGGUGUACUAACAGAUCGAGGGC